GAUGAACGCUAGCGGCAGGCCUAACACAUGCAAGUCGAGGGGUAGAACACUUCGGUGUUUGAGACCGGCGCACGGGUGCGUAACGCGUAUGCAAUCUACCUUGUACAGGGGAAUAGCCCAGAGAAAUUUGGAUUAAUGCCCCAUAGUAUAUAACCUUCGCAUGUUGGUUAUAUUAAAGUUCCAACGGUACAAGAUGAGCAUGCGUCCCAUUAGUUAGUUGGUAAGGUAACGGCUUACCAAGACGAUGAUGGGUAGGGGUCCUGAGAGGGAGAUCCCCCACACUGGUACUGAGACACGGACCAGACUCCUACGGGAGGCAGCAGUGAGGAAUAUUGGUCAAUGGUCGCAAGACUGAACCAGCCAUGCCGCGUGCAGGAAGACGGUCCUAUGGAUUGUAAACUGCUUUUAUACAGGAAGAAACCCUCCCACGUGUGGGAGCUUGACGGUACUGUAGGAAUAAGGAUCGGCUAACUCCGUGCCAGCAGCCGCGGUAAACUACUCGUA
rnacentral:rRNA from 1 species